GGGGAAUAUUGGACAAUGGGCGGCAAGCCUGAUCCAGCAAUACCGCGUGUGUGAAGAAGGCCUGAGGGUUGUAAAGCACUUUCCAUUGGGANGAAUANCCUGCUUNAUNAAUAUCAAGCAGNCUGANAUUACCUAUAGAAGAAGCACCGG
rnacentral:rRNA from 1 species